GAAGUUUGACCUUUCUUUUCUUUUUUUUAAUUCAAGUUUAUUUUAAUAUUAAAAAUGCCAAAAAUAUUUUGUUUAUUGCUUGACCUCCAAUCUUCAUCUCAUUUCUGAUUUCUCAUUGUUUGACUUUGACUUUCAAUGUCAUUUGGUCAAUAAACAUGGAUUGGUACAUUUCUUAUUUCACCUUAUGCAUUUUGAUCUUUCC
rnacentral:lncRNA from 1 species